rnacentral:rRNA from 1 species
UACGGAAGGCAGCAGUGGGGAAUAUUGCACAAUGGGCGAAAGCCUGAUGCAGCUAUGCCGCGUGUAUGAAGAAGGCCUUAGGGUUGUAAAGUACUUUCAUCGGGGAGGAAAAACAAAACUAAUAAUUUUAUUUCUUGACGUUACCCGAAAAAGAAGCACCGGCUAACUCCGUGCCAGCAGCCGCGGUAAUACGGAGGGUGCUAGCGUUAAUCAGAAUUACUGGGCGUAAAGAGCACGUAGGUGGUUUUUUUAAAGUCAGAUGUGAAUCCCUGGGCUUAACCUAGGAACUGCAUUUUGAAACUGAAAUACUAGAGUAUCGUAAGAGGGAGGUAGAAUUCUAGGUGUAGCGGUGAAAUGCGUAGAUAUCUGGAGGAAUACCUGUGGCGAAAGCGGCCUCCUAAACGAAUACUGACACUGAGGUGCGAAAGCGUGGGGAGCAAACAGGGAUUAGAUACC